AGAGAGAAAGAGAAGGGACAAGACUACGAAUUGAAUGUUAGAAGAUUUUCUUGUGAGUUUGUUUGUAUGAUCUUCUUCUUCUUCUUCUUUGGGCUGCUUUCUCUCU
rnacentral:ribozyme from 1 species